AUUAAGAUUAAGUUGAUACCACAGUCGGUACAUAAUACCGAAAUAACACCGAUAUGUAAUAGUAUAGAUCGAGGUUGUGGAUCUCGGUCAACACGUUCAAAGGCGACAGUGGAUCAUUUUAGCAAGAAAGUAUCAGAGAUUCUUUAUUUUGGGACACGGACUAUCACGACAGGAUACUGGAACAAAUGAAUAAUAUCCAGAAUAUUCUUAAAGGAGAUAAUCGUACAUCGUUAUUCUAGUUGACAGCGGGCCAACUAACUUAAACGUCGGAAGGAAGGAACACAAAACAUUUAUAGACCAUAAAAUGCCCAGUUCAAAUUGCAAAUUGGUCGGUCAAAUCUACCACUGAAAAGCGAAUAGAUGCCAUAUUAUUCGGGCAGGACAUUGAUGGUUACAACAAUAUGAAAACAAGUACAGGCAUCCGAUGCAGUGUGGAUUUUUCUCUUGCUUUAGAAAGUCCCAUGGCCACGGGAAAUUUGAUUUUGUCCGACAGUUAAACUGGACUCCGCAACAUAUUCAAGAGAUUCUACAUUGUCGCGCCCUAUGAGCUAGCUGGCGCUCUGACAAUGCAUCCGCAUUACACGCUCAAGAAAUUGUUAUGCUAAAAGGAAAAUCCAAGAUGGCUGCGUUUGUAAGCCAAAUUGUGGAGCGUCAAUGGACGUUUGAAUACGCCAAGGAACUAAAACAAUACGUUGGAGGUUGAUAUUUACGGUUUCUGUGGGGGGAUGUCAUGCCAAGGUGGAAAUAAAUGCUAAAACCUGUUUUGGGAUGCUAGACAAAGUAACUACAAAUUUUAUACGAAGCGUCUGAGAAUGCUAAACCGUAGGGAUUACAUAACGAAAAGUUCUUCAUCAACGGAUUAAGUCAGGACGUCGUUCCGAUUGUGAUGGGCGCGCACCCGGAAGACUACGAGGAAGUUGCACCACCGCAUUCCUAUAUCCACGUGGAGAACUUCAAGUCAGCGAAAGAAUUAGCUGAAUAUAUGAAAAUGCUGGAUAAAAAUGACGAACUUUAUAAUGAAUAUUUCAACUGGAAAGGGACCGGCGGUUUCCUAAACACCAAAUUUUGGUGUCGGUUGUGUUCACUGGUCAGUGAUGAUAAGAAGCCGAAACGGAUUGUUGAAAAUUUAGAAAA